CGACGACGUUUUGUGCUAUCAAU
rnacentral:snRNA from 1 species